CCUACGGGUGGCAGCAGUGGGGAAUAUUGCACAUUGGGGGAAACCCUGAUGCAGCGACGCCGCGUGAAGGAUGAAGUAUUUCGGUAUGUAAACUUCUAUCAGCAGGGAAGAAAAUGACGGUACCUGACUAAGAAGCCCCGGCUAACUACGUGCCAGCAGCCGCGGUAAUACGUAGGGGGCAAGCGUUAUCCGGAUUUACUGGGUGUAAAGGGAGCGUAGACGGCUGUGCAAGUCUGGAGUGAAAACCCGGGGCUCAACCCCGGGAUUGCUUUGGAAACUGUGUAGCUGGAGUACCGGAGAGGCAAGUGGAAUUCCUAGUGUAGCGGUGAAAUGCGUAGAUAUUAGGAGGAACACCAGUGGCGAAGGCGGCUUGCUGGACGGUAACUGACGUUGAGGCUCGAAAGCGUGGGGAGCAAACAGGAUUAGAUACCCCGGUAGUC
rnacentral:rRNA from 1 species